rnacentral:rRNA from 1 species
UAGGGAAUAUUGGGCAAUGGAGGGAACUCUGACCCAGCCAUGCCGCGUGCAGGAUGAAGGCGUUAUGCGUUGUAAACUGCUUUUUAUAUAGGAAGAAAUAGUCCUUGCGAGGAAAGUUGACGGUACUAUAUGAAUAAGCACCGGCUAACUCCGUGCCAGCAGCCGCGGUAAUACGGAGGGUGCAAGCGUUGUCCGGAUUUAUUGGGUUUAAAGGGUGCGUAGGUGGCCCUGUAAGUCAGUGGUGAAAUAUCUCAGCUUAACUGAGAGGGUGCCAUUGAUACUGCAGGGCUUGAGUACAGAUGAGGUAGGCGGAAUUGACGGUGUAGCGGUGAAAUGCAUAGAUAUCGUCAAGAACACCGAUAGCGAAGGCAGCUUACCAAGCUGUAACUGACACUGAGGCACGAAAGUGUGGGGAUCAAACAGGAUUAGAUACCCAGGUAGUCCCUGAGCGGGCUGGCAAGGCGCAU